rnacentral:rRNA from 1 species
CAGUCGCCGCGGUAAUACGGAGGGGGCUAGCGUUGUUCGGAUUUACUGGGCGUAAAGCGCACGUAGGCGGAUCAAUCAGUCAGGGGUGAAAUCCCAGAGCUCAACUCUGGAACUGCCUUUGAUACUGUCGAUCUGGAGUAUGGAAGAGGUGAGUGGAAUUCCGAGUGUAGAGGUGAAAUUCGUAGAUAUUCGGAGGAACACCAGUGGCGAAGGCGGCUCACUGGUCCAUUACUGACGCUGAGGUGCGAAAGCGUGGGGAGCAAACAGGAUUAGAUACCCCCGUAGUCCCUGUCUCUUAUAC